GACGUUUGUAGAAUAAAAUGCCCGGUUCUCGUUAGAUCACCUAAGUCAAGCAUCAUUGGGCGCGGUUAGUACUUGGGUGAGUGCCCACCUGGGAACACCGCGUGCCGUU